CGCUGGCGGCGUGCUUAACACAUGCAAGUCGAGCGAUGAAGCUUCUUCGGGAGUGGAUUAGCGGCGGACGGGUGAGUAACACGUGGGUAACCUGCCUCAUAGAGGGGAAUAGCCUUUCGAAAGGAAGAUUAAUACCGCAUAAGAUUGUAGUACCGCAUGGUACAGCAAUUAAAGGAGUAAUCCGCUAUGAGAUGGACCCGCGUCGCAUUAGCUAGUUGGUGAGGUAACGGCUCACCAAGGCGACGAUGCGUAGCCGACCUGAGAGGGUGAUCGGCCACAUUGGGACUGAGACACGGCCCAGACUCCUACGGGAGGCAGCAGUGGGGAAUAUUGCACAAUGGGGGAAACCCUGAAUGCAGCAACGCCGCGUGAGUGAUGACGGCCUUCGGGUUGUAAAACUCUGUCUUUGGGGACGAUAAUGACGGUACCCAAGGAGGAAGCCACGGCUAACUACGUGCCAGCCGCGGC
rnacentral:rRNA from 1 species